AAUAAAAAUAACAAAAAAACUAAAAACAAUAUGGAAAUCAGGACAUAAUUUAAAAAAAUAAAUAGAGAAUGGAUGAAGGAAGAGGCGGGUGAAAGCUCUAUGAUGAAUAUCAGGUCUUUGAUGGAGAUCAAGCAGCUAAUUAACCAAACUCCAAACAGGUGUGCACACAGGAAAAAAGACAAAACUGAAAUCCUAAAACAGAGGGACCAAGCAUCACAGAGCCACGGAGGGCAGAUCAAAACAACAGAGAAGGCUGUCAGGCGCUCCAGCUGCUGAGUCACCAGAUCAAAGCUCGUCAGGUCUAAUCAUGCAGGACUUCCAAGUUUGACAGGUGACUCCGCCUCAGUCACAAUCAGCUGAGUCGAUUCGUCACACACAACCAUCUGAUGACGACUCAGAAAAAAACGGAAAAGGUCCGUCGAAGCAUGUCAGGUAUGUCUAAGCACAACCGUGUCUGAUAACAAAAGAACCAAGAAGUCAGUAAAAAUUGAUGGAAUUUUGUACUGACGUUUCAAAUUCUAUUGCUGUAGGUAUGACAUCCCACAAAUGCAGUACUUUGUCAAACAAAGAUAGUUGCAAUACUAUUUCAGCUUUGUCCUAUAUUCCUUGUGCAAUACUGUCAUGAAAGCACUAUUUCUGGGUUAAUGCCAAAAUGUUUUGAAAAAGCAACUGACCUGGGUGCUCUUGGUGAAUUCAAUACAAUUUUAGAUACAGUAUAGUGGAAAUGUUUUUAUAUUUCUUUGUAUUAGAGUUUACAUUUUAGUUGGUGUUUGUUACGGGGAAUAUUUCAAACUGCCUCAUGCCAUAAAGGUUGCUGACCCCUGACAUAGAGGAAGGAAUGCAUGAAGGAAUUCUUUCUGUCUGCCUCCUACCGAAAACCUCGUCUAAUGCAACCUUGACAGGCCUUUCUUUCCUUUUUUCCAGUUUAUGCAAUUCCUUUUUUACUUAGACUAUUGAGUAAAUUAAAGUGAAAACAAUUUCAGUAAAAAAACUUUCUGGUAUGAAACAGAAAAGAUUAUUGUGAAAAUUCAAUACAA